GUGCACGCUCUCCUGCGGACUUUCGCCGUAUGGGCGCGGGGCGACCCGCGUCUUCAUAUACCUCUUCGUGUAGAAAGUCUUCGAAUGUUUUACCAUCAUCGAGUCGCGACUUCUAGGAGACGCGAUUCUUUGAGACAAAAGUUAUCACAACUUUCAGCAACGGAUCUCUUGGCUCUCGCAUCGAUGAAGAACGCAGCGAAUCGCGAUAUGUAAUGUGAAUUGCAGAUCUACAGUGAAUCAUCGAAUCUUUGAACGCACCUUGCGCUCCUCGGUGUUCCGAGGAGCAUGCCUGUUUGAGCGUCAGUAAAUUCUCAACCCCUCUCGAUUUGUUUCGAGUGGGGCUUGGAUAGUGGGGGCUGCCGGAGACCUGAACUCGUUUUCAGGACUCGGGCUCCUCUGAAAUGCAUCGGCUUGCGGUCGAACUUCGACUUUGCGCGGACAAGGCCUUCG
rnacentral:rRNA from 1 species